AGUUAAUGAACUUGUAUAAGUGUAUACCUUGAAAGUAUAAAAAAGAAAGAUGUUUCUAUUAACUU
rnacentral:tRNA from 2 species